rnacentral:misc_RNA from 1 species
AAUUUCUUGAGAAUUGUUGAAAUCUUGAAAUUACAACUGGAUGACUUAGCUACUUUGGUUUAAUUAGGAUAAUCCAGGUUUGUGGUAAUCUUUUUCCUGGGAGUAUCUACAUUUUCUGUUAUCUUUAUUCUGUGGUAUAUUCUUAUGGUUUUAGGAAUAAUAGUUUUGUUAUGGAAUAAAUAUUAAAUGGCAAAAACAGCAUUGAAAUAAAAAAUGUGGUCGUUUCAUUUGAAUUUUUAUUGAAAUAUUAUGUUUAAAAGUGGGGAACGUUGGGGUUAAGCCUAAAGUGAGACUUUCAUUUGUUUGAUAUUGGAGAAUAUCCCUACGUGAGUGGUAAGUUUUGAAUCAUGACUUGCUUUUCUACUGUGUAUGGAACUUCAAUCAUGAUUGUUGCUUAGGAAGAAAAAUAAGAUGAUUACCUGAUUAUUAGUUAUCUUGAUUUAUUGCCCUAUGUCUGGCAAAGAAAAUUAUUCUAAUGUGAUAUUUGCUAUUAUGUAGG